rnacentral:sRNA from 1 species
UUGCAUUAGCGGUAGUAACGGCAUCCUUUUUACAAAAUUAUAUAUUUAGUUUCAAUAGAAAGGAUAACUAUGAAUUUGUUGUAAAUGUUACUUGAUAUUGGGACGUCCGUAAAAAGAUAUAGUGGAUGACGCGACCCACC